rnacentral:rRNA from 1 species
AGGUUAGUUUUACCCUACUGAUGACCGUCGCCCCAAUGGUAAUUCCGCUUAGUACGAGAGGAACCGCGGAUUCAGAUAAUUGGUUUUUGCGGCUGUCCGACCGGGCAGUGCCGCGAAGCUACCAUCUGCUGGAUAAUAGCUGAACGCCUCUAAGUUAGAAUCCAUGCCAGAACGGGGCGAUUUUCUCCAGCACGUCGUACGAGGAUACGAAUAGGCUUCGGCCCCGGACCUUAGCAGGGCAUAACUCCUCUCUCGUAGAAGUCGGGAGAGGUAAUUGCCGGAUAGCAAUUUGACAGCGCGCUGGGAUGAAUCCUUUGCAGACGACUUAGACGUGUAACCGGGUCGUGUAAGCAGUCGAG